CCUACGGGAGGCAGCAGUGGGGAAUAUUGCACAAUGGGGGAAACCCUGAUGCAGCGACGCCGCGUGAGUGAAGAAGUAUUUCGGUAUGUAAAGCUCUAUCAGCAGGGAAGAAGAAAGACGGUACCUGACUAAGAAGCCCCGGCUAACUACGUGCCAGCAGCCGCGGUAAUACGUAGGGGGCAAGCGUUAUCCGGAAUUACUGGGUGUAAAGGGAGCGUAGACGGCUGUGCAAGUCUGAAGUGAAAGCCCAGGGCUCAACCCUGGGACUGCUUUGGAAACUGUGGAGCUAGAGUGCUGGAGAGGUAAGUGGAAUUCCUAGUGUAGCGGUGAAAUGCGUAGAUAUUAGGAGGAACACCAGUGGCGAAGGCGACUUACUGGACAGUAACUGACGUUGAGGCUCGAAAGCGUGGGGAGCAAACAGGAUUAGAUACCCUAGUAGUC
rnacentral:rRNA from 1 species